GCAACUUGAACAUAAAACGUAUAGAAUUUAAACAACAGAUCUUAUAGGCAUGAUUUCUACCCUUAAGCAUGCAUAAUUACACGGAAAUUUUUCACUAGACAACCUCAAAUGUUUAUUACAACUUAUUACAAACCAAAAAUACUGAAUUACAAAAGAAAGAAAGAAAGAAAAAGCUACAACCAUAGGAAAGCCUUAUUUGACUUCCUAUAUGAGAUAUGCAAUGAACUGUAUCAUCGCCAAUGCCAUUAAUUUCAAAGCCUUUCUCAGACCUGGAUGUAUCAGAGUUCCCGAAGAGUUUCAAAGGACCCCGGGCAUUGCUUACGCGCAAAUUGCGUAACCAGAUAGAGAUGGGUGUAGUGUGAAAGGGCCAGCCCUUAUGUGUCCAAGUUCAAAGGGAGCUCAUAGGUCCUAAAGCAGAGCUCACAUAAGAGGGGAAGAAGCUAAGUCUAAGAGUAGAAUGGAAGUGCAGGAGCAGAAGGUUGUUUAUAACUGAAUUAAGAGCAGUAAGGGAUAAGGGUGGUUUGAAAAUAGUAGCUAAAAUUAUGCAAUAUCAGCAAGUACACAAAGGGGCAGGGGUAUGGGAAUACAUUGCAGAUGGCAUGUGACCCUGAGAAAGGUCAAGCCUGGACAUGCACAUCAAUAAGUGAAGCUGGCAUGCCCAUAAACCAACCAAAACACACAACAUAUAAGGGUUAUGAUCCCAAGGAAUCAGGUUUGGGUCAUGCACAACAAUGUUCAAUGCCGUUAUGCCCCAAACCAACCGAAGAUACCAAACACAGGGGAUGUGGGGUUUGGAUUCAUAAGUGACUGAUAGAGUUCAUACAUAAAGGUAACAUAAAUUCAGAAGAAAGAAAGGGGGCAGAUUAUAGCAUUCUUAUUAAUGAAAUUCGAUUAAACACAAGCAGGGAGCAGGCAAGAGUGCAAGGAAUAGUAAAUAAACAUGUUUUUGUUGAUUCUGAAGAUUAAUCAGAACAUACCAGUAAAGAAGAAAAUGCAGAAAGAAAGUAAACAAAUUUCCCACAGCCUAACCUUGGCUUUCAGCCGACUAGGUAAGGUAGCAACACAAGUAAUAACAGAGAGAGAGAGAGAGAGAGAGAGAGAGAGAGUUUUUAGAGUAAAAUGUGUGUUCUAAACUCCAGUAGUUCGUGUGUUUGAAAGAAGAGAAGUACAAGAUAUUUAUAGCUUUUUGAAAAUGAGUAAAAGAGAAGUAAUAAGCUACAAACAUAGAAACAAUCAAAAUUCAGAAUCAAUUAUACAAGUGAUUGCCUUUAAUUAAGGAAUCACUUGCUUAACGGGUAAUGACAGGUUCAUAAUAAGGAAAGAAAUCAAUUUGUAAGCAACUGAUAGUUGCCAUAAAAGAAGUGGUAAAACAAUUGAGUAAGUAAUCAAGUCUAAGUACAGAAACAUAUUUAUUUUGGGAACGGAUUCAGUAAGGCAAAACAAGGAAAGGAAUCAAUUAACCUUAGCAUGCGAGUGAAAUCAGAUUUUCACAAAAAGAAAGUUUGAAAUCAGUCACAAGAUUGAAGAUCACUCAAAGAGGGAAUCUCAGCAUAUAAAUAGAGUACACGAACACUAUACAUGCGAGGCCAAACUUAUCGGCAAAAGAAAUAACAUGCAAUAGUAGCACAAAAUAUUCAGUAGGUAGCAACAUUCGAAACAUGAUCGGCUAGUAGGUUAAGUCACGUUGAAUCAGUAAUGAAGAAAGCAUAGAAUAUCAAAAGCAUGCAAAGAUCUCACCACAGCCAGUAAGGAAACCCCGUCGAAAAAAAAAAUUAGAGUUUCAAUCAUAGUCAGUUUUUGAAGAUAAUAGAUACCUAGAAUAAGAGGAAUCACAUAAAAGAGAAAGAGGUUCUGAAACAAUGAACUUCAAAUCGAGUCAAGUAUCUAAAUGAACCGUUUCAGACCCAAUGAAAUAGGUUUUUUCAACAAUAGUUGUGUUUAAAAGAUGAUAAACAAACAAAUCAAACAAAACUCAACUACAAAAGCAUUCAUCUAAUAAACAGCUAAAAGAAAUUAGGGCUUUUAUCAUUCAAACUCAGAUAGAAGAACAAUAUGAGAAAACAUAGCAAGGCAUGUCAAAAAUUAGAGAAGAGAUUUGAAAUAACUUAUCAGGAAAACCCUAAUCGGAACAGAUAUAGAGUUUUGAAAGCAAAGUUUUAAAGAACUUCGAGAAAAUGCUUAGAAGUUCAAAACAAGCAUAGGUCUGAAUUAGGUUAAAAGAAAUCGAAAGAACCUUAGAGAUUAGGGUUUAAGGAGAACUCUAAAAAGAAGUCAUUGAAAGCUAUCAAUCUAACCAAGAGAGUCAAAGAUCUUACUCGAAUGGUCAUAACUGGCCGGAGAAAAGCCAAAGAUGACUAGAGAAGGUCCAUGAACUAAAAUCAAGCGAAGGCUGGACCAGAGUACUUUAUAGUCUGGCCUUGAACACAUAAGGACAAACAGAAAGGAGCCAUGAAAGGCUGGCAUAGGCCUUCGAUGGCCUUGGAAGGCCAUGGGUUAGAGCGAAUUAGGGUGGCAGCUGCUAGGGUUUGAGAGUAUGUAGAGAGGAUAUGGGAGAGGAGGGAGUUCAGAGGUAGCGUAUGGUGAAUAAUGAGAGGGUUUAGGGGAUCUUUUGGGUUUAAUUAGGAAGACAGAAAUGGUAGCCGUUGAUCUAAGUGAUCAACGGUUGGGAUUAACGGGGCUAGGUAUGGAUCCGAGUGUCGGUUGAUUUAAUUAGGUUUGGGGCCAGUUAUGAAUUGGAAUUGAGCCGGGGUAAUUGGGUUUAAAUUGGAUUAGAAUUGGGCUACAAUUGAAAUAAAAUCUGGCUAGAUUUUAAAUGACCAUUUUCCCCAUUUAUUUUAUAAAAAAUAGUAAAUUAAAAUUUGGAAAUAAAUUAGAAGUGCUAAAAUGUUUUAUAACAUACAACUAUCAAUUUAAAAAAUACUGGACUUAAUUUUAUAAGUAUAAACACAAUUAAGUCUUAAAAGGGACCAAUAUUAUAAUUAUAUGCAAUUUAGCUUUAAAAAAAUACCAAAUGAAUUUAUAAAAAUAUGUAAAAAUUAUCUCAGCUAUGUUUUAGUAUAAAUAUAAGACUCCAAUAAAUGAAUCACAAAAAAUUAUUGGGGUUUUUUAUGAAUAAAAAUAGGGAAAAAAUUGGUUUAAAAAUCUUUAAAAAUUAAGAAAAAAUAAUAAGAUAUUUGGACAUGCUUAUAUAUGCACACAUGUGCUAUUUUUAAAGUACUUUGCAUAUAAAAUAUACAUAUGAAAAAUUAGGUAGCAACAGCUGCCCCUCUUUACCCGGAAGGAUGAAAGAGUUGUCGGGUAAAGAUAUGAUGGCCAAAUUUUGACCGAAUGAAAUGCCUUGAAGAAAAAUUGGCCGCACCCGUGCUUCUGAGCUGCCUAUAUAUCCCUGGUCUUACAGGAAUCACGCCACAUGUAGUUCGGGAUCCAUCGGCGAAAUAUGCCGACAGGUACUUUCCGAAAACAGACGCAAUGUUUCGGUCAGGGUGAGUGAGAGGCUUACGGGAGUGGUCAGGUCUAAUAUGGUUGGGGAACAUUGGAGCGGAAACUCUCCUGCUGAGGCGGAUGUUGCUUGCCAGUUUAUAUUGUGCAUAAAUUUAGAGAUAAUGAAAAUUUCCGUCGGACCGUGAAUAUUGUCUUCAGACAGUUAUUCUAAUGUCUUUAGACCAUGAUGUCCUUGCCAUGAAGCAUAUAAUAAAGGAUUCGUAGGCUAUGAAAUGAUGAUUUCGGGCCAUGAAUAUGGUUUCUCCGAACCAUGGUGCCUUUGAAUAAUGAUAUGCAAAAGAUUGAAAGGGAACCUCAGGCCAUGACAUAGUGUUCUCAGGCUAUGAGGAUGGUGGCUCUGAACGAUGAUGCCUUUGGAUAAUUUGGCGAUGUUUCAGCCCAUGAAAUGCGAUAGCAUGUGGCGAUCUUUCAGCCGUGCAAUAUGGUGGUCUUUCAAUCGUACAACAUGGCUAUCUUUCAGCCGUGCAAAGUGGCAAUCUUUCAGCUAUGCAAUGUAGCGAUCUUUUAGCCGUGCAGUGUGGUAAUUUUUUAGCCGUGCAAAGUGGCAAUUUUUCAGCCUUGCAAAGUGGCGAUCUUUCAGCCGUGCAAUGAAGCGAUCUUUCAGCCGUGUAAUAUGGUAAUAUUUCAUUUGUGCAACAUGGAUAUCUUUCAACUGUGCAAAGUGGCGAUCUUUUAGCCGUGUAAUGUGGCGAUCUUUCAGCCGUGCAACAUAGAGAUCUUUCAGCUGUGCAAUAUGGAUGGAGAUAGUGUUUAGUAUUGGAAGAAAAAAUAUUAGCCUUAUUCAAUGCAAAUGCAGAUAGAAGUAGAGCUUAACUUUGGAAGGCAGAAUAGUAGCCUUAUGCCAGUCGAAAGGCAAAAUGGUAGCCUUAUGCAAGUUGAAAGGUAGAAUGGUAUCCUUAUGCAAGUUGGAAGGCAGAAUGGUAGCCUUAUGCAAGUUGGAAGGCAGAAUGGCAGCCUUAUGCAAUGCAAAUGCAGAUAGAGGUAGAGCUUAACCUCGAAAAGUAGAAUAGUAGCCUUAUGCAAGUCAGAAGGCAGAAUGGUAGCCUUAUGCAAGUUAGAAGGAAGAAUGGUAGCCUUAUGCAAUGCAAAUGAAGAUAAAGGUAGAGCUUAAACUCGCAAGGCAGAAUAGUAGCCUUAUGCAAAAAAUAAAAUAGCAAAUGGCAGUAGAUUUUCUUAGCUGGUAAUUGGUUGCGGCAUUGUGGUUGUUGGGAGCAUUAUGACAUGUAGAACAUUAUGGGAGUAUGCUGGUAGCAGAUGUCGAUAAGUGCAAUGGUUCAGAGAAUCAUGUUCUCGAACAACGUUUGUGUACGGGCGGACAAUGCAUUGAAUGAUUUUGUAAUCUUUGUGCUUGCAUCCAAAGAAAAAUUGUGAGUUCUAUAAACGGGAAAAAGUGUUCUUAUCCCUGCUGGCUCUGCUCGUCUUUGACCUGUAUGUAUCAUUGGGGUAGCGUUGCUAAACAAAGUAGUUUUUAUAACAAUCAUGCAUGAUUUUGCAAGGGUAUAACAUAAAUGUAUAAUUAAAAUUUUUUUUAGGUGAACGGACGACUGUUAUGCGGUUUGAGACACUGCAACUUCUCAUGCUAUGGAAUUUUGAGGGUCCUCCUCAAAAUUAUGCCCCAGUUUGAUGGGUCGACUUUCUGUCUACUGCUCGUGCGACAAUCAACUGAAAUUACUUCGGAAUUUUGAGGAUCUUCUUCAAAAUUGUGCCUCAGUUUCCAAUUUUAAGGGAAAUAAAAUUUUUAUUUAAUUGUGACCGAACCCAUAAGAUUGCCUACAUAUCCUCUCUUAAACGGGAAUCAGGUUAGAGGUAGUUCAGUUUACAUCAUAUAGGGAAAACAUUGAAAUUACACAUAGUAACACUUGACUGCAUCUGAAUUAAUCGGCUUUGGCCAAAUCUCUACGUCCAUUUCUGCAAGUAUGAGGGCUCCUCCAGUCAAAACCCAGUGAACCAUAUAGACCCUGUCAAUUGGGAGAGAACUUCCUUUUUGGCCUCGUCUUGAUGCGGAUUUUUUUUUUAAUACCAGCUUCCCUGGUGUGAACUGUCUAGGAUUGACUCUCUUAUUGAAGGGUUUGGACAUUCUGUUCUAAUAAAGUUGAACACUACAAACUGCACUCAUUCUUUUCCCAUCUAUGAGAGCUAGCUGCUCGUAACGAAUCUUCACCCAUUCUACAUUGUUGAGCUCAGCUUCCUGUAUGAUCCUUAAGGAAAGAAUUUCUAACUUGGCGAGAAUGACGACUUCUGUACCAUAAACCAGCAUAUAGGGGGUUUCCCAGUUGAUGUGUGGACUAUGGUGCGAUACCCUAACAAAGAAAAUGAUAACUUCUCAUGCCACUGUUUAUGCUUCUCUAUCAUUUUCCUCAAUAUUGUCUUGAUAUUCUUAUUGGCGGCUUCCACAGCUCCGUUCAUUUGAGGCCUGUAGGCUGUAGAAUUCUCGUGUCUGGUCUUGAAGGUUUCAUACAUAGAUUUUAUCAAGUCGUUGUUGAGGUUGGAGCCAUUAUCAGUAAUAAUUGACUCUGGAAUCCCGAAUCGGCAAACAAUGCAGUCACAGACAAAGUCUGCCAUGACUUUCUUAGUUACUGCUCUAUAAGAUGCUGCUUCGACCCACUUGGUGAAGUAAUCAAUUGCCACUAGAAUGAACCUAUGUCCGUUGGAAGCAGCAGGCUCGAUUGGCCCAAUAACAUCCAUUCCCCAGGCGUUGAACGACCAUGGUGAGCUUGUUGUGUUAAGCUCGCUCAGGGGUACCUUUAUCAUGUAUGCAUGAAUCCGAUAAAGAUGGCAUUUCUGGACAUAUUGGAUGUAGUCUAUUCCCUAGUCAUCCAGAAGUAACUAGCCAUGUAAUCUACGAACGACUGUAGCUCAUGCUUGGCAUAAUUUCCAAUCAAGAUGUGUUUAUUUGGCAAGGGGAAAAGUCAUCUUUUUGACUGGCCCGGUUGAGAUCCCGGUAGUCGACAUAGGCUCUUACCUUCUCGUGCUUCUUUGAUACUGGUACAAAGUUGGCCAACUAUGUCGGAUACUCAACUACCCUGAGAAUUUUAGCUUUGACUUGCUUAGUGACUUCUUCCUUGAUUUUCAAACUCAUAUCAGGCUUGAACUUCCUGAGCUUUUGUUUUACUAGCGGACAUGUCGGCUCAGUUGGUAGUUUAUGGGCCAUAAUAGAUGUACUUAGACCAGUCAUGUCAUCAUAUGACCGGGAGAAUAUGUCCUCAUAUUCCUUUAGAAAUUUGGUGUACUCCUUCUUUUUUCGAUGGCGACAAAUGAAAGCUGAUUCGUGUUUCCUUGACAUUCUCUGCAUCUCCCAAGUUAACAACUUCUAUCUUUUCCUGGUUGGACUUAGGCCUGUUUUCAAAGUUCUCAACUUCUUUAACGAUCUCCUCUGGUAUUUCAUCUUCUUCUGAGUCAAUAUCUGUUGUUGCGUUGUCUCAUUGCAUGUGGAAAUCAAUGGUUCAUCAAGAUAAGUAAUAGUAAUGCAGUGCAAAUGAGAGAAAAUGAUAAGGUGUUGAUUUAUAAGAAAAAUCGAAAAUGCUUUGAUAAAUUCCAUAGUUAUUUUGAACAUUGAAGAUCUUAUUGCAGAAAUCAAAAUGCGAAAGAAAAGAUUAUCUAGUAACAAUGCAUGAUGCUUGUUUAGCCUUGCUACCCCGAGGCUCGCCGGACUCUGGUGGUGUGAGCACGUGAUUUUUGCCUUAUAUGAGUUACUCCUACAGAAUCCAACAGGAUUAGAUUUUUUCUUUUAAUUAUUUGUUAUUUAGGAAUUAUUGUGGAAAAUUUUCGAUUAUUUGUAUUUUUGUCUGCAUGUUUAAUUUUUAUUUAAUUCAUAAAAAAUACAAAAAAAUACAUUGCAUUUGCAUUUAGGAUUUAAUUUUACAUUUUAGAUUAAUUAGUAAAUUAGUUGUUUCACAAAAAUAUGAAAAAAUCACAAAAAUAGUACAUGUUGCAUUUUAACUCUUUAAUUUUAAAUUUUGCAGCUUUUCUUUUAAUUUAGGAGUUAUUUAAUUUUUUAAUAUAGUUUGACAGGUUAAUUCAUUUUUAGAAGAUAAUUUAGAUGUAUUUAAUUUGAAAAAAGAAAUAAAAAUUGGAAAAUGAAAAGAAAAGAAAAAGAAAUAAAGAAGUCUGAUUUUUUUGGCCAAUCAAUUAAUUUCCCCAGGCCCAAAAGCUUUUACCUAAAAAAUCAUUCAAAACUUCCCCAAACAUCCGUUCCAACCCGGUCCCCCCCUCCCCCNNNNNNNNNNNNNNNNNNNNNNNNNNNNNNNNNNNNNNNNNNNNNNNNNNNNNNNNNNNNNNNNNNNNNNNNNNNNNNNNNNNNNNNNNNNNNNNNNNNNNNNNNNNNNNNNNNNNNNNNNNNNNNNNNNNNNNNNNNNNNNNNNNNNNNNNNNNNNNNNNNNNNNNNNNNNNNNNNNNNNNNNNNNNNNNNNNNNNNNNNNNNNNNNNNNNNNNNNNNNNNNNNNNNNNNNNNNNNNNNNNNNNNNNNNNNNNNNNNNNNNNNNNNNNNNNNNNNNNNNNNNNNNNNNNNNNNNNNNNNNNNNNNNNNNNNNNNNNNNNNNNNNNNNNNNNNNNNNNNNNNNNNNNNNNNNNNNNAGUUAACCAAAUGACCUUGUUUUCAGCCUCUCAAUUGCAGCCAUUAAUCUUACUUAAUCAAAUGGACGAGAACUAAGUUGCUUGAUAGUAUAAAAUUGUCCUAAAGCCUCGACCCCCCUUCCAUCUGUCUCACUUAUCACCUCUUCGGAGACCUUCAAAGAAACCCUAGCUCCGCCAUUAAAAUUCCCCAACAUAUUCGGUGACGGCGCCACCUCUAAUCAGCCCCAAAUCCACACCACAAUACCCCCACAACCUCCUCUUUCCAUAACCCAAAUAUACGACCUUCAAAUCCCUCUACAACUCGUCCAGUUUCAAAUCUGAGGUGGAAACCUUAAAACCCCAAAUUCCUAAAAUCAGCAAGUUUCAUUAAAGAAUUGGAGUCGAGUUUGAUUUUAUUCGUAUGUUCUUAACGAGAACCCACGAUUAAUAUCAAUAUCGGCUAAAUUCGAAGGUGUGAAGAAUUUUUUUAUUCCUACUGUCUAAGCCGUCUCUUAGGCAUUUUUGUUUGUUUGUUUAUCUUUUCUUCUUUUUUCCUUUUAUUGCUCAUACCAUCUUCUCCUGUUUCUUUUCUUUUUCUUUAUUGUUUCUAUUCCUUAAAUCACCUCGGCAUGGAUUUGUCAAUGUAGGUUUAUUUCAGCAUCUUUAUUAAUUUGUUUGAUUCUUUGAUUUUAAUUUUUAGCUCAAAUUUCCCUCUUGUUUUGGGUUAUUUAGAACAUUUGGUUUUAGGAGUACACAAAACUCCAAGUUUCCCCUUUCUUGAUUCUUUUUUUGUUGGUUUUUAGAUUGAAUUGGGCUCUAUUAAUCAGAGGCCCAAAAAAAGGGAUUAGCCCGGGUUUGGUAACCCCUUAUGUGGUUAGUCUUGCGUCCAACUUGAUCCAUAUCUAUGUUGGGAUAAAUAGCAAGGAUUACAAGGGUAGAUUAGGGAUUUUAGGUUGGAGAAUCUAUUGUAACUGAUCGGGGAAACCUCUAGGAAGGUGGGUAUGGGGAUGUUUUAACAAACAGAUCUUUAAACCAAGGAUUCAGUAGCAAAAACAAAAAUUGGAAAAGGAUUAAAGGGCAUAUAACUGGACUCAUUUAUGCUGCCCUAAAGCUCCCUAUAAAGGGAAUUGUUUCUUCAUUAUCAAGGCAGAAUUUGAGAGAUGAAAAAAUACUGAACUUUAGAAGAAUAGCUGAGUCUUCAAAAUAAUAAAAUCCAUUAUAAUUUCUGGUGGAAAUUGGUUCAACUUCCUGUCGGUUCUAGUAUCUGAAAGUUACAAAUAAUUUCUGGGUUUAUUUUCGAGUUUAAAAUUGGUUUUCAAGUCUGGUUGUUAUUAGUUUACUUAAUUGAAUCUGCUGCUGCUGUUUCUUCUUGAACUCCCAGCUUAUUUUCCCUUGUUAUUUUGCUGUAACCAGGUAUUCGCUACAUUUCCUUGACGUGUGAAAUGGAAGAACAUGAAGCUGUAUGAUUGAGAUGAAAAUCUAUGGCAUAUCAGUUUGUUAAAUGUUGUUUUCUACAUUCCUGAAAUCAUUAUAUCCUGUAACUAGUGUAAUUUUCUUUGUUAUAUUUGCUCUUUUCUAUUUUAGUUUUAAACUCUAUUUGUAAUAUUGGAUAAAUCACUGUCUCUAGCCACUUAGUUUCAAUGAGUUGAGCCUAUGUUUGUAUGAAUGGACUAUUAAGACUACUACAAUAAAAGGUUCGGUUGAUUCACAUAUGUUUUAGAUACACCACAAAGAGUUGCUUUGGUAGAACGACGUCAUCACCAUGUCGUCGAGACUGUCAAAACUCUAAUGCACCAAGCUUCAUUACCAACCACAUUUUGGAGUUUUGCAUGUCAUCAAGCUAUUUUUCUAAUUAACAGAAUGAUAACUCCAAUUUUAAAAGACAAGUCUCCAUAUGAGAUUUUAUUUCAAGAAUCACCGAGUCAUGAAAACAUCAAAAUUUUUGGUUAUUUAUGUUAUCCGUGGCUAAACCAUAUUCAAAAAGUAAGCUUGAUUUAUAAUCAUAGCCCUGUGUUUAUUUGGGAUUUUCAAAUAAUAUUAUUGCCAUCAAUGGUUUGACCCAACCACCUCCAAAGUUUAUCUUUCGAGAGAUGCAGUAUUUAUUGAAAAUAAUUAUCCUUUUGCCAAUAUUCCAAUUUAAAAAUUACUUAGGAUGACGUAUCUUCACCAAAAGGCACACACACAUAUAUCCUAAUAGAGUCACGUUGUUUUGAACUACCUUUGCCAUUGUCUACGUACAUAGAAAAGUCUUGCUCCGUUCCUUCUCUAGCAGUGUCACAAAGCUCAUGUAAUUCUCCUCCUUAUCUCAAAAAUCCAACUAGCACCUCUGAUUAUUCCUCCCAUACAAAACCCAUCCUCCCUCCUCAUGCAACAAAAAGAAACCACCCAUUAUCCAAACCUAUAGCCGUCAGACCUCUAAAUUUACCACAACUGUUCAAGCCCCUCAACCGAAUCCCAACCCCAACACGUUCUUUCUCCUCCAUCGCAACCAAAUCCAGCCACCUUUCCUCAUCCAAUGGUUACCCGAUCAAAAACAAAUAGCCUGAAACCCAAGACGUUUCUUGCCAAAACCAACCUCUCACCACCAAUCCCCCACUCCUACCGUCAAGCACAACUAUACCCCCAUUGGAAAGAAGUAAUGAAAGCAGAAUAUGAUGCUCUAAUCAGAGAUCAGACGUGGGAUUUGGUUCCCAGUGAUUCCUCUCGGAAUGUUGUAGAUUGUAAGUGGUUAUUUAGAGUUAAACAUAAACCUGAUGGAAGCAUUGACAGGUAUAAGGCUCGCCUAGUAGCCAAAGGUUUCACGCAAAGGCCUGGGUUGGAUUAUCAUUCUACAUUCAGCCCUGUUAUCAAGCCCGCAACAGUCCGUUUGGUCCUUGCAAUUGCUUCCCAACGCUCAUGGCCUAUUCAUCUGUUGGAUGUCAAUAAUGCCUUCUUACAAGGUUGCAAAGGCCUCGGUUGGAUUAUUAUUCUACAUUUGGUCCUGUUGUCAAGCCUGCAACAGUCCGUUUAGUCCUUGCAAUUGCUGUCCAACGCUCAUAGCCUUUUCAUCAGUUGGAUGUCAAUAACGCCUUCUUACAAGGCAGACUUGAAGAAGGAAGUGUACAUGAAACAACCUCCUGGUUUUAAGUCCUCUGAACAUUCAACAUAUGUUUGCAAGCUAAAAAAAGCAAUAUACGGACUUAAGAAGGCUCCUAAGGCGUGGUACACCAAGCUCACCAACUAUUUGACAAGUAUUGGAUUUGUUAAAUCCAAAUCUGAGUCAUAUUUGAUUAUCCUUCACAUUGUAGAGCUAACUGUCUACAUUCUCAUAUAUGUUGAUGACAUACUUCUUACGAGUAGUAUUGAAAGAAGUGUCAGGUCCAUCAUUGAUACUCUUUCUCAACGAUUCUCUCUAAAAGAGCUUGGGCUAUUGCAUUAAUUUUUUGGUGUUGAAGUAAUAUCAAUGCCAAGUGACAUAUAUUUGUCUCAACACAAAUAUGGCAUGGAUCUUCUGGAUGAAUUGUACAUGGUUGAAUGCAAGGGUCUCCCAACAACGAUUACAUCAACCUGCUCCUUCGCUAAUUCUGAAGCCUAUUUUGGUGUUGACAUUUCACUUUUACACAAGAAUCAUUGGUAAGCUUCACUACCUAUCCUUCACUAGGCCUGACAUCGGGUUUGUUGUUAGCAAGUUGUCUCAGUUUAUGCAUUAUCCAAAAGUGUCUCACUGGAAAGCUAUCAAAUGGUUGUUGUGCUACCUGAAACACACAAGCACAAUGGAAGUUAAGUUAUGUCGACAACCAACAGAUCAUUUACUUGCUUAUUCUGACUCUGAUUGGGCUGGAAAUCCACAAGACAGAACAUCACCAAUAGGUUAUGUUGUCUACCUUGGGAACUCACCAAUCUCUUAGUCUUCCAAAAAGCAAAGGUCGGUUUCAUGCUCAUCCAUGAAAGCUGAGUAUCGAUCUAUUGCUGUUGUUGUUUCUGAAGUUAAUUGGCUCACGAAUUUGUUCCAUGAGCUUCAUUUCCCAUUGUCUGCUCCACGAACAGUCCUCUAUGACAACGUUAGUACCACCUACAUUUGUGGUAAUCCGGUUUUUCACAGUAGGAUGAAACAUGUAACUAUUGAUUUCCAUUUUGUUCGCAUCUUCGUGAGCGCGUUCCAUAUAAAGCACUUGAGGUUCGUCACCUUCACUCUGUUGAUGUCGACAUCGUCAUGAAGCCUCUUCCGAAUACCAUUUUUCUGCGCAAUUUUCACAAGUGGGGGCUUGUUCCAGUCACCCCCAAGUUGUAGGGCGUAUUAAAGAAUAACAAUUGAUAUCCUUCAGUUUAGGAGUUUGUUAUUAACUUCCUACUUUUCAGGUUUUGGAUUUUGUUGGUUUCUUGUAUUCUAGUAUAUUCUACUGCACAGAAUCUUAUCAUAUCAGUUUGUUCCACAUUUAAUGUAUUACCGAUGUAUCUGCUCUAUAUAAAGAGUCUGUUGUUCAUGAAUAAAAUUAUCUUUUCUUUAGUGCAUUUUAAAACUUCACACUUCUAAGAGGCCAACACAGUAGAAGUUCGCAAAAUUCUCCUUUAGUUUUGGAAAAACUUUUCCGUCCUGCAAUUAAGACUAUUACACCACUUAACUUAGAUUGAAAUAAGCCCUCAAUCAAACGAGUUCAAAUCAUGUCGGAAAGCCAAGAGAUUAUGCUUCUCAAUAACUCAAUAUUCUUGACACUAUCAUCUUUUUUCUUAAGGAUAUAGAGGAUUUAUACCAUAAGCGGUAGGAGCCCGAAAUUCUUACAAGGGGAUUCAUAAAAAUGAGCAUUGAAGUGUCAUACCUAAGAUUUUGUGAGCUAAGGCAAUUUUUGAAACCCCUUUACUCCAGUGUCAAGAGGAUUUACAGUUCAUAUAUAACCAAAUUUUGUUGUUUUUUAACUAUUUACUCGUUGCGAUUGUCAAGGAAGGGGAUUCACCUUGGCUCCCUUUAGCUCCGCCACUAUACACAGCCGAUCCUAGCUAGUUUGGGACUGAAACCUAGUUGAUUGACUGACUUAUAACCUAUUAUCUUGACUUCCCCCACUUUAAACAACUUGUCCAUCAGAUAAGCUAACCUGCCAUUUCAAUUGCUAAUUUAUGGGAGAGCACUUUUGGAAAUUGGAAGAAAAAUUCCAAACAUUGCCAAGAAUAUACUAAACUAAUAUACUUUGUCUAAAUAUUUCGAUAAAUCAAGCAACCCCAUAUGAUGCUAUAAAAACAACAUUAGAAACAAAACCUGAAAGAACAUGAAGAGCAGAACCAAUGCUGACGGUGUUACCAAUACCAACUGCACCAAUACCACCAGUUUUCUACAAAGUCAAACACGAAACAAAGAAUUAAAAACUAAUACUAAAGAUACCAAUUUCGUUAAAAAGAAAGAGAAAGAAAAGGGAACAUUUUUGAGGUACCUGAGUAGGGAGAUCAAGAGUCUGAGGUUGUUGUUGUUGGAUAAUUGAUGGCGGUUGAUGGUAGUGGUGGUGGAGAUCGGAAAUGGGUUUUUGAGGGGGGAGUAAAAAGACCGAAGAGAUCGGAAAUGAAUAGGAAAAGGGGUAAUCCCACUAGAAGAAGCUGAGUUCGAUCCAUUGUUUGUGUGGGGGUGAGAGAGAGAGAGAGAGGGAGAGAAGGAGUGGGGUUUUGCCAAGGAAAAGAAAAAUGUUUUUAAAGAAAAU
rnacentral:lncRNA from 1 species